GGGGAAUAUUGCGCAAUGGGGGCAACCCUGACGCAGCCAUGCCGCGUGAAUGAAGAAGGCCUUCGGGUUGUAAAGUUCUUUCGGUAGCGAGGAAGGCACUUAGUUUAAUAAACUAGGUGAUUGACGUUAACUACAGAAGAAGCACCGGCUAACUCCGUGCCAGCAGCCGCGGUAAUACGGAGGGUGCGAGCGUUAAUCGGAAUAACUGGGCGUAAAGGGCACGCAGGCGGUGACUUAAGUGAGGUGUGAAAGCCCCGGGCUUAACCUGGGAAUUGCAUUUCAUACUGGGUCGCUAGAGUACUUUAGGGAGGGGUAGAAUUCCACGUGUAGCGGUGAAAUGCGUAGAGAUGUGGAGGAAUACCGAAGGCGAAGGCAGCCCCUUGGGAAUGUACUGACGCUCAUGUGCGAAAGCGUGGGGAGCAAACAGGAUUAGAUACCCUGGUAGUCCACGCUGUAAACGAUGUCGAUUUGGGGGUUGAGCUUUGAGCUUGGCGCCCGUAGCUAACGUGAUAAAUCGACCGCCUGGGGAGUACGGCCGCAAGGUUA
rnacentral:rRNA from 1 species